UACGGGGGGAGCAAGCGUUGUUCGGAUUUACUGGGCGUAAAGGGCGCGUAGGCGGCCACCGCAAGUCGACUGUGAAAUCUCCGGGCUUAACCCGGAAAGGUCAGCCGAUACUGCGGGGCUAGAGUGCAGAAGGGGCAACUGGAAUUCUCGGUGUAGCGGUGAAAUGCGUAGAUAUUCGGAAGAACACCAGUGGCGAAGGCGACACACUGGCCCAUUACUGACGCUGAGGCUCGAAAGCGUGGGGAGCAAACAGG
rnacentral:rRNA from 1 species